CAACCAGGAGAGCUGUCCUAAUGCCUUCAACAAAUAUAUUGUAACAUCAUCCACCAAUGCAAUUAAGGGGCCAUUGUUCAAUUUAAUUUGAAAAGCUU